rnacentral:SRP_RNA from 1 species
CCCGGGUGCGGUGGCACGUGUCUGUAGUCCCAGCUAUUCGGGAGGCUGAGGCUGGAGGAUCUCUUGAGUCCAGGAGUUCUGGGCUGUAGUGCGCUACACUAAUCGGGUGUCCGCACUAAGUUCAGCAUCAAUAUGGUGACCUCCCGGGAGCGGGGACCACCAGGUUGCCUAAGGAGGGGUGAACCGGCCCAGGUUGGAAACAGAGCAGGUCAAAACUCCCGUGCUGAUCAGUAGUGGGAUCGCGCCUGUGAAUAGCCAUUGCACCCCAGCCUGGGCAACAUAGCGAGACCCUAUCUCA